ACCAUGCAGUCGGAUGUGUCGCAAGACACAUGGCAGACGGGUGAGUAACACGUGGGAAACUUACCUCUUAGUGGGGAAUAACGCUCCGAAAGGAGCGGUAAUACCGCAUGAGACCUAUCGCUGGGAUGCGAUAGAUGAAAGCUGGGGAUCGUAAGACCUAGCGCUGAGAGAGAGUCCUGCGUCUGAUUAGUUAGUUGGUGAGGUAACGACUCACCAAGACUUCGAUCAGUAGCCGGCCUGAGAGGGCGAUCGGCCACACUGGAACUGAGACACGGUCCAGACUCCUACGGGAGGCAGCAGUGGGGAAUCUUGCGCAAUGGGCGAAAGCCUGACGCAGCAACGCCGCGUGGGUGAUGAAGGUCUUCGGAUUGUAAAACCCUGUCGUUAGGGACGAAGGCAUGAAUCCUAAUACGGUUCAUGUUUGACGGUACCUAGAAAGGAAGCCCCGGCUAACUCUGUGCCAGCAGCCGCGGUAAUACAGAGGGGGCAAGCGUUAUUCGGAAUUAUUGGGCGUAAAGGGUGCGUAGGCGGUUUUUUAAGUCAGAUGUGUAAUCCCCGAGCUCAACUUGGGAACUGCAUCUGAAACUGGAAGACUAGAGUGCUGGAGAGGAUGGUGGAAUUCCACGUGUAGCGGUGAAAUGCGUAGAGAUGUGGAGGAACACCAGUGGCGAAGGCGGCCAUCUGGACAGUAACUGACGCU
rnacentral:rRNA from 1 species